rnacentral:rRNA from 1 species
CCUACGGGUGACAGCAGUGAGGAAUAUUGGUCAAUGGACGAGAGUCUGAACCAGCCAAGUAGCGUGAAGGAUGACUGCCCUAUGGGUUGUAAACUUCUUUUAUAUGGGAAUAAAACGUUCCACGUGUGGGAUUUUGUAUGUACCAUAUGAAUAAGGAUCGGCUAACUCCGUGCCAGCAGCCGCGGUAAUACGGAGGAUCCGAGUGUUAUCCGGAUUUAUUGGGUUUAAAGGGAGCGUAGGUGGAUUGUUAAGUCAGUUGUGAAAGUUUGCGGCUCAACCGUAAAAUUGCAGUUGAAACUGGCAGUCUUGAGUACAGUAGAGGUGGGCGGAAUUCGUGGUGUAGCGGUGAAAUGCUUAGAUGUCACGAAGAACUCCGAUUGCGAAGGCAGUUCACUGGACUGCAACCGACACUGAGGCUCGAAAGUGUGGGUAUCAAACAGGAUUAGAUACCCGAGUAGUC